UACGGAGGAUCCGAGCGUUAUCCGGAUUUAUUGGGUUUAAAGGGUGCGUAGGCGGCCUGUUAAGUCAGGGGUGAAAGACGGUAGCUCAACUAUCGCAGUGCCCUUGAUACUGAUGGGCUUGAAUGUACUAGAGGUAGGCGGAAUGUGACAAGUAGCGGUGAAAUGCAUAGAUAUGUCACAGAACACCAAUUGCGAAGGCAGCUUACUAUGGUAUUAUUGACGCUGAGGCACGAAAGCGUGGGGAU
rnacentral:rRNA from 1 species